GACGAACGCUGGCGGCGUGCCUAAUACAUGCAAGUUGAGCGCUGAAGGUUGGUACUUGUACCAACUGGAUGAGCAGCGAACGGGUGAGUAACGCGUGGGGAAUCUGCCUUUGAGCGGGGGACAACAUUUGGAAACGAAUGCUAAUACCGCAUAAAAACUUUAAACACAAGUUUUAAGUUUGAAAGAUGCAAUUGCAUCACUCAAAGAUGAUCCCGCGUUGUAUUAGCUAGUUGGUGAGGUAAAGGCUCACCAAGGCGAUGAUACAUAGCCGACCUGAGAGGGUGGUCGGCCACAUUGGGACUGAGACACGGCCCAAACUCCUACGGGAGGCAGCAGUAGGGAAUCUUCGGCAAUGGACGAAAGUCUUACCGAGCAACGCCGCGUGAGUGAAGAAGGUUUUCGGAUCGUAAAACUCUGUUGGUAGGGAAGAACGUUGGUGAGAGUGGAAAGCUCAUCAAGUGACGGUAACUACCCAGAAAGGGACGGCUAACUACGUG
rnacentral:rRNA from 1 species